UAGAGUUCUUGUCCACUUGCAAAUUGACGAACCUAACAGUGAAGGCAGAGCUUGGUUGUUGCUUGCUUCAUAGAAGUGGAAGGCUAACCAUAGAUGGCUGCAUCCUUCAAUGUGAGUCAAACCCUUUGGACUAUCUCUCAUACCCAAUCGUGACUACAGCUGGGGGGNNNNNNNNNCUCCUCCUCUGUGAAGACAAACUGUGAUGGUGUUUCUGUUUCUCAAACUCGGAUAGAAGGGGC
rnacentral:misc_RNA from 1 species